rnacentral:misc_RNA from 1 species
UUUCCGUAGGUGAACCUGCGGAAGGAUCAUUAACACGUAUCCAACGUAUCAACCCCUUUAUACGAACCAUUAACCCGCCCUUUGACUACGUUUGAGUCUAGUUUUACCGCUAGGCAAAGCAGCUUGCAGCUGGGAACGGCUGUAUUGCUGGCGCUCUGGGAGAGAGAGGCUUCGGCUUUUCCCUUCACAUCCGCGUAGUACUGUGUGCCUUUUUCUUUCAACCCAUUCUCUGGUUUGACGAAAUUAACGCUUCUUGUUGGGCUCUUCGGAGCCUGCAGGAUUCUAAUUAUUAAACGCUGAACAACUUUUAGCAACGGAUGUCUUGGUUCUC